GAUGAACGCUAGCUACAGGCUUAACACAUGCCAGUCGAGGGGAAACGGCAUUGAGUGCUUGCACUCUUUGGACGUCGACCGGCGCACGGGUGAGUAACGCGUAUCCAACCUUCCCAUUACUGUGGGAUAACCUGCCGAAAGGCAGACUAAUACCGCAUAGUCUUCGAUGACGGCAUCAGAUUUGAAGUAAAGAUUUAUCGGUAAUGGAUGGGGAUGCGUCUGAUUAGCUUGUUGGCGGGGUAACGGCCCACCAAGGCGACGAUCAGUAGGGGUUCUGAGAGGAAGGUCCCCCACAUUGGAACUGAGACACGGUCCAAACUCCUACGGGAGGCAGCAGUGAGGAAUAUUGGUCAAUGGACGGAAGUCUGAACCAGCCAAGUAGCGUGCAGGAUGACGGCCCUAUGGGUUGUAAACUGCUUUUGUAUGGGGAUAAAGUUAGGGACGUGUCCCUAUUUGCAGGUACCAUACGAAUAAGGACCGGCUAAUUCCGUG
rnacentral:rRNA from 1 species